UAGAAUAAUAAAAUAAUAAGUACUCUGGUUUCCAGCCAUAUAAACGGUGGCCAAAAACCCCCUCUUGUUGUGCCAUGGAUCAGGGAAUCCCCUUGCAGCUGGAGUUGUGAAGGAAAAGGGGAUUUGCCAGCCCCAGAUCCACCACGGUGGUUUGGUGGUGAAGAGAAACGUGGUGAUUCCCAGCUUCAGGAAUGCCAGGGAAAACUCAGGCACAUCCAGGUUUUCCAAUCCCUGCAUUUUCCUUCAGUCAAGACCCAUAUUUUCACCUCGAGGUGGGGGGUGUGUGUCUCAAUUUUGAUUAUUCUCUGCUCAUUCCUUCAGAACGAGGAAGACAGAAAAUCUUGGAAGCAAAGAGGAAGGAAAAAAAACCCAACCAAACCCCUGUAAUCAGCAGGAAAUUCAGGAGAGUUUCAGUUCUCAGAGAGCAGCAAAGAGGCAUCACCCUUAUUUUGUGGGGGAAUUUUGAGCUUGUCUUCUGGCAGCUCUGCUCUCAGGGCUGAGAAACCCUGGAUAACAUCAGAUAAUGCUCCCAGGGCCGCUUGCCAGGAAAACAGCGAUCCCAAAAGGUAACUCCGACCUGAUUAUUGGGUAUUCAUCUCCCCAAAGGCACAAUGGCAGCUCCGGCAGAUAACAUCGGGGUGAGGCACCCCGGAGGCUCCGUGCCUCAUUCACACCCUGCUGCACAGCUGAGCCCCGCCGUUUCCAUCCUAAACAGCCGGGAAAAAACUUAAACUGCACAAAACCCCCGUGCUCUGAGGAGUGAGAGGAGGGAGAACUUGUAAAAUCACACAGCGACGUGCUCUGAGGGAAAAGAGUUGGAGGCAAAGCUGCUCAAAAAAAAAAAA